CACCUACGGGUGGCAGCAGUGGGGAAUCUUGCACAAUGGGGGCAACCCUGAUGCAGCGACGCCGCGUGAGCGAUGAAGCCCUUCGGGGUGUAAAGCUCUUUCGGCAGGGACGAUAAUGACGGUACCUGCAGAAGCAGCUGCGGCUAACUACGUGCCAGCAGCCGCGGUAAUACGUAGGCAGCGAGCGUUGUUCGGAGUUACUGGGCGUAAAGGGUGUGUAGGCGGUUGUUUAAGUUUGGUGUGAAAUCUCCCGGCUCAACUGGGAGGGUGCGCCGAAUACUGAAUGACUCGAGUGCGGGAGAGGAAAGUGGAAUUCCUGGUGUAGCGGUGAAAUGCGUAGAUAUCAGGAGGAACACCGGUGGUGUAGACGGCUUUCUGGACCGUAACUGACGCUGAGACACGAAAGCGUGGGUAGCAAACAGGAUUAGAUACCCUGGUAGUCCACGCCCUAAACGAUGCAUAUUUGGUGUGGGCAGUUCAUUCUGUCCGUGCCGGAGCUAACGCGUUAAAUAUGCCGCCUGGGGAGUACAGUCGCAAGGCUGAAACUCAAAGGAAUUGACGGGGGCCCGCACAAGCGGUGGAGCAUGUGGUUCAAUUCGACGCAACGCGAAGAACCUUACCUGGGCUCGAACGGCU
rnacentral:rRNA from 1 species